rnacentral:rRNA from 1 species
AUUGAACGCUGGCGGCAGGCCUAACACAUGCAAGUCGAACGGUAACAGGAAGAAGCUUGCUUCUUUGCUGAUGAGUGGCGGACGGGUGAGUAAUGUCUGGGAAACUGCCUGAUGGAGGGGGAUAACUACUGGAAACGGUAGCUAAUACCGCAUAACGUCGCAAGACCAAAGAGGGGGACCUUCGGGCCUCUUGCCAUCGGAUGUGCCCAGAUGGGAUUAGCUAGUAGGUGGGGUAACGGCUCACCUAGGCGACGAUCCCUAGCUGGUCUGAGAGGAUGACCAGCCACACUGGAACUGAGACACGGUCCAGACUCCUACGGGAGGCAGCAGUGGGGAAUAUUGCACAAUGGGCGCAAGCCUGAUGCAGCCAUGCCGCGUGUAUGAAGAAGGCCUUCGGGUUGUAAAGUACUUUCAGCGGGGAGGAAGGGAGUAAAGUUAAUACCUUUGCUCAUUGACGUUGCCCGCAGAAGAAGCACCGGCUAACUCCGUG